AUUGAACGCUGGCGGCAUGCCUUACACAUGCAAGUCGAACGGUAACAGGUCUUCGGAUGCUGACGAGUGGCGAACGGGCGAGUAAUACAUCGGAACGUGCCCGAUCGUGGGGGAUAACGAAGCGAAAGCUUUGCUAAUACCGCAUAAGAUCUACGGAUGAAAGCAGGGGACCGCAAGGCCUUGCGCGAACGGAGCGGCCGAUGGCAGAUUAGGUAGUUGGUGGGAUAAAAGCUUACCAAGCCGACGAUCUGUAGCUGGUCUGAGAGGACGACCAGCCACACUGGGACUGAGACACGGCCCAGACUCCGACGGGAGGCAGCAGUGGGGAAUUUUGGACAAUGGGCGAAAGCCUGAUCCAGCCAUGCCGCGUGCAGGAUGAAGGCCUUCGGGUUGUAAACUGCUUUUGUACGGAACGAAAAGACUCUGGUUAAUACCUGGGGUCCAUGACGGUACCGUAAGAAUAAGCACCGGCUAACUACGU
rnacentral:rRNA from 1 species